GGUUUAUGUACUCGUUCUGGGUAAAUAGAGAUUUUCGGAUCUUGUUCCUCGGAUAGCAGUUACGUAACCAAUUGUGGAACUUUCUUGCUAAAAUUUUUAAGGGAUAUAUCGCAAGAUAUAUCCUUUUUAAAUUAUAACGAUUAUCAAUUAACAAUCAAUUCAGAACUGGCACGGACUUGGAGAAUCCGACUGUCUAAUUAAAACAAAGCAUUGUGAUGGCCCUAACGGGUGUUGACACAAUGUGAUUUCUGCCCAGUGCUCUGAAUGUCAAAGUGAAGAAAUUCAAGUAAGCGCGGGUAAACGGCGGGAGUAACUAUGACUCUCUUAAUAUCUCUUGUCGUGUGCAGACGUGUUUUGUAAAACGGAGAAAUCACGUUUGC
rnacentral:ncRNA from 1 species